CAGUUACUCCCUCCGUUCCGAAUUACUUGUCUUGGAUUUGUCUAGAUACGGGUGUAUCUAGACUAGUCUAGAUACACCCGUAUCUAGACAAAUCCAAGACAAGUAAUUCGGAACGGAGGGAGUACUUG
rfam:Triticum urartu cultivar G1812 contig406968, whole genome shotgun sequence.